UUUGUGUUUUAACCUGCAACGUUAACAUUUUUCAUUAUUAAGAAUGUGGAUUUGACUUAGAGUUCAAGGUUUCUGAUCUGUGAACAAUGUGGUAUAGCAUGUAGCCAAGGGUAAAUGUUUCCUUGUUUAAAAAAAUAAAAUAAAAACCUAUUUUUAGAUAUCAAUGUUAUGCCUUAGUAAUAGUGUUCUGAAAAAUGGAGGAGUUGUCCAUAUGAAAAUAUUGAUAUGGUUAGGUAAAUAUGAGGAUGAAUGUGCAUAGAAUAUAAAAUCCCACUUGGUUUUUUCUUCUGUAUGUAGUGAUAAGAAUUGAAUAGGCCACAUUUUGCAGGGUGUGAACUGUUGCAGUCUGCGUUGAUCUGUAUUAACGUUUGUUAAAAUUGCAUACUCCCAGUCAGAUUUUUGUGUGUGUUUGUGUUUGUUUUUUUUAAAAGAUGGCUUAAUCGGCUUCUAGUAUAAUUUUUGGUGUCAUUUUACAAUGGAUGUUGUCUAAAAGUGCAGUAUGCUUCAAACAAAGAAGGGGGAGGGGUAGCUUUGUUUAAAAACAAAACAGCAUUCUUAUAAAACAAAUGGGGUUUUCAUUUCUGAUUCUAAGAAAAUAAUCUGUUGAUCAAGGAAAGGGAGGUAAAGCAUUCCAGAGAUGUAGAUAUGUCCGUAGGAAAAGCUGUAGGAUCCAUUGUUUCCAGGUGACAAGUAAAGAUAUAAAAAUAAAGGGAUCAUAAAGCUCUCUAGUGGAGCAUAGAUAUUUAUAUUUUUUUUUAGAUUGUCUGAGCAGAGCUGUCAUUCUUGACUAUGAAGUCAAAAAUCUUGAUUAUUCUUUUAUAAUAGUCUAAUCUUAAUUAUUUAAUUGUGGGCAAAGCUCAAUAUUUCUGCUAAAGAGAGAGAAUUUAGGAAUUGUGAUUUUUUUUUUUCCUUUAAGGGUUUUCUUCAAAAUGUCACUAAUCUGGGAUGCAGACCUAAGGGAGCUAAUGCAUAAAAGACUGUUGUCUUGGCUAAGUAUGAUUAUAAAUGUUGAAUCACUCAAAUUUUAAUCAAGGUCAAAAUAACCUCAUUCCUAUUUCUGUCAGAAUAUCCUCAAUUCAUCUUCUGUUUUGGGACUCUGAGUCACUCUGUUCUAUUUUUUUUUUUAAAUUUACCAUGGUGGUGCAGUAAUGGCCUAGCUGCCAACAGGCAUGGAAGGCCUUUCUCAGAUAAAUGACAUGGAGUCCCCUUAACUCUACAAAUAUAUAUUUAAUACAUACCCAGCGUAUUGUCAGUCAAAUCCAAAGGAUAGUCUUAUUAUGGAGUCAGAACAGACAGGCCUAAUGUAGUUGUUUGUGAUUAUAGAACCUAGUAUUUUCUCGCAGCUGGAUUAGGAUCCAUAAUUUUGCUUUGACACACUUUUUUGUGAUGCCUUUAGUGAUUUGGUAGUGGUUCAGUACAAGGAGUAAUUUAGAAUAAGCACCAAGAUAUUUUGGUGUCGCUGCAUAGUCUCUUCAGGAUCUGAGAAUAUGGGAUCAACAUGGUGGUACUCCGAUGGUUAUCUCUCCUGUUGGAGGUAAUUUAUGAGUGUGGGAUUCUUUACAGUUGUUCAGUGCAGGAGGAAAAUCGGGAGAUAGCCUUCGCAUUGACAUCUUUAUUUAAAUUUUAGAAGAACAUUGACAUGUGUCAUGUUGCAUAAUAAGUUUCUCAAAAGGUUAAAUUUGAGACUUUUUUGCAGUAAUUUCAAAAUACUGCAUAGCAGCCCUAAGUUACUGUAUUGCUUUCAACUUAUACUUGGAUACUUGUUUAAAUAAUGACACUGACUUUUUGUUACUAUUAUUUUUGCUAUUCCGUUUGGUUGAAUAAGAUAACUUUUUCCCAUUUGGAAGUGAGUGGUUAGUUUGAAUCUAGCCACAGGUCUGUUGGCUAUAAACGUUUGUAUUCAAUUUGUAAAUUUAAAAAUUUGCAGUAAGAGUGUGCUACAUACAUAUUAGGAUGUAACAGCCAUUCUGAAGAUAAAUUGGAAUUAGAGGUAUAAAAAUUUGAAACUCUUCUAUAUCAUUGGCUGCAUUGAAAACAUUCCAGAAGCUCAAGGUCUGUCUCUAAUAUGCAUGUCUUAUUAAAAAUCAAAAAUAUGUACAAGCAUAUUAUUUUCUUGCACUUCUACUCGUCUGUCAAGGAAGAUAGCAAUUGCUAGUUGUUUACCAGGAAAUAAAAAUGUCCAAUGAUUAACUUUUUCCUUGCCCUGUGUUUAAAGGGGAGACUGCCUGCAGCUUGCAGUUUGAUCUUUUGAGUCUCUUUGGACAUUCUUCCUGUGGACAAAUCAAGCCCUCUUCAUGCAUUUAGUUAAAAUAUAUUUAUUCCUUUUGUUGAGUCAGAAGCAACAAAAGGAAUUCCUAUAUAUCGAGCGUAUGCGUUUGAUUUUAUGUGUAGGAUUUCAAAGAGUUACCGUAAGACAUAAUAUUAAAUGAUGAUUGGAUCAAAGGGCAAGAGAUUUGGAGGGUGGGGCGUUGUGGGAAGGGAGGAAUGGUGUAUAAGGCCCUCAAUGUUCAGGUUUGGACAGUGUACCAUGACUGAAUUUAACUGCUAUUGCCCCUGGGGAGGUAGUGUUUUGUUUUAUUAUCCCUUUGGAUUUUUCAUCUCUUCUUAUCCUUUUAAAUUUUUAGAAGCAGGAAGAGUUAACAACAUAGCAACAGUGCUAGCCAGAUUGCUCCCUAAGUGUCUCCCACUCAAGAGGAGUUGGUUAGCAGUCCUAAAAAUCAGAAGAGAAGAAACACAAACUAUCUCUGUGGAAUAAUGUCAGUAUUUAAAUGGCCCCCAUUGGGCUCUGGACAUUACAGCUCAUUGCAGCAAGCAGCAUGAAGAAGGGGUGAACUAAUACCGAUGCUUCACAGAAGGCUGUUUUUCAGUUAACAAGGCAGUGGUGUAUCAGUUUAGAUUGCAAUGGCUCUAUUUUCACAACAGAAAAUUAGGAAUGUAAUUUUAUUAAAAUGAAAGCUUAGAAUUUGCUGAAUGCAGACCAAACUGAAACUGAGAUCAGUAACCUUUCUAUUGCUUUCCCCUUCCUCUCAAAACUGCCUGUGAUUUUUCUACUAAUGAUACAGUGGUAGGGUUUUAUUUUUGACUUUUUCUGUACAUCUUUCCUCUGAGACAGCCACUUUUGCACAGACAGCCUCACCAGCAAUCCUUAAGCCUACCAGGCUGGGCAGGAAGAAUGUGGCAUACAUAAGAUGUUGCAGGGAGCAAGACCUCAUUAGGCUCUAAAAUCUCAGAAUCCCACUGAACAUGCUCAAAAGUGAUUUUUUUCUCGUAACUUUUAUUUAUUCUAACAUUUUCCCUUUGAACAUAGCAAAGGCUUUACUUCACAUUGUGGACUAUCCAAGUCAAAGUUUAGCUGUGUUUAUCCGGGGUGGCAGUGUAAGAAUAGUAGAGGUAAAAAGAAAACAGGAUAGAUAACAUACAUUCUGUUGUUCUGAAUUAUACAAGUGACUCCUGAGAUGUUUCCAGAGAUGACCUCUUUGAGCUGAGA